ACAAUUCACAGGAUUCCCUGUGAUUUAUAUAACUGAAAAUGGAAGAGGCAAUGAGGUCAGUCAAGACAAGGAGACACUUGAGGAAGCUCUUAUAGAUAUUUAUAGAAUCGAUUUUUAUUAUCGUCAUCUCUAUUAUCUACUUUCAGCAAUAAGGGACGGCCAUGUAAAUGUAAAAGGAUUAUUUGGCGUGGUCACUUUUGGCACAAUUUUGAAUGGGCGGAGAGAUGGCUAGUUAAUAGGAUUUGGACUGAAUUAUGUGGACAGACAAACUCAGAAGCGAUAUCCCAAACUUUCAGCAAAGUGGUUUAAGAGUUUUCUUCAGAAAAAGUUAUUAGGAUAAUUGCAACGCACAUCUGUUACAAUAGUUUGGGAGAUAAUCUCUUAUGUAAUGUUGCCUAUUAAUAAAUUUCAGUGAAGAGUGAAGUGUGUCAGCUGUUAAUCUUUUUAUUGAUGUAAUGUUUUUUUUGUUAGUGAAAUGUGCUUUGCUUGUUU